GGAGAGGGCUAGCGUUAUUCGGAAUUAUUGGGCGUAAAGGGCGCGUAGGCGGAUUAGUAAGUUAAAAGUGAAAUCCCAAGGCUCAACCUUGGAAUUGCUUUUAAAACUGCUAAUCUAGAGAUUGAAAGAGGAUAGAGGAAUUCCUAGUGUAGAGGUGAAAUUCGUAAAUAUUAGGAGGAACACCAGUGGCGAAGGCGUCUAUCUGGUUCAAAUCUGACGCUGAGGCGCGAAGGCGUGGGGAGCAAACAGGAUUAGAUACCCUGGUAGUCCACGCUGUAAACGAUGAAUGUUAAAUAUGGGGAGUUUACUUUCUGUAUUACAGCUAACGCGUUAAACAUUCCGCCUGGGGACUACGGUCGCAAGAUUAAAACUCAAAGGAAUUGACGGGGACCCGCACAAGCGGUGGAGCAUGUGGUUUAAUUCGAUGCAACGCGAAAAACCUUACCACUCCUUGACAUGGAAAUUAUACCUAUUCGAAGGGAUAGGGUCGGUUCGGCCGGGUUUCACACAGGUGU
rnacentral:rRNA from 1 species